rnacentral:rRNA from 1 species
UACAGAGGUCUCAAGCGUUGUUCGGAUUCAUUGGGCGUAAAGGGUGCGUAGGCGGCGCGGUAAGUCGGGUGUGAAAUCUUGGAGCUUAACUCCGAAACUGCAUUCGAUACUGCCGUGCUUGAGGACUGGAGAGGAGACUGGAAUUUACGGUGUAGCGGUGAAAUGCGUAGAUAUCGUAAGGAAGACCAGUGGACGGAAGGCGGGUCUCUGGACAGUUCCUGACGCUGAGGCACGAAGGCCAGGGGGAGCAAACGGGG